CCCAUGUCCCCAACCCUCAGGCCAGACCAGCAUUCACAAAUGCUUAUGGAGUGAACGCUUGAACAAGAUGCAGGGCUGGCCAUCUGAUUCAGACUUGGGGUGCUUGGAAUUGUUAACAUUGGGAGAUGUGGCUGUCACCUCCAAGGAGACCCAGGUGCCCUUCUCAGCAGGAUCUGUGCAGGGAUGUGCUGCCGGACAACCAGAGGAACCUGGCCUGCCUGGGAUUUGUAAUUUCCAAACCAGAUAUGAUAUACCAAUAGGAACAAGGAAUAAAACUUGGGAUGCCAAAGGGAGAUGUCUGAAGAAGCACCUGUCCAUGUAAAUAAGUGAAAACCAGAUGGGAAAAGGUUGGGACAGUAGGUCUGAAAUCAAACAGACAAUCCCAAAGCUGGACAUUUCUUUGGAGGAAUUAUGCCAGGCAAGUCUUAUAAGGGAUGGUAUCUUGGACCGUGAGUUGAGUCAAAUCUGGAAUUGUGGCACCCAGCUAGUGAGGAAAUAAUAAUGAAUGUAAUGAAUGUGGCAAGACUUUCAGCCAGGAGACAUAUCUUACUCAGUACAGGAAAAUCCGUAUGGGAGAGAAACUUCAUGAAUGAUUAGACUGUGGGAAGGCCUUCUGCUGGAAGAUAGACCUCAUUUGACAUCAGAUGAUCCAUACUGUGAAAUAUCCUAAGAAUGUAAUGACUAUGGGAAGACUUUCUGCCUGACUACAGCUCUUAAUUUACAUUGAAGAAUUCAUAUUGGAGGAAAAUCUUAUUAGUGUAAUGAAUGUUGUAAGGCCUUGUGCCUGAUCAAAGAACUUACUCAAAAAUCAAAAGAUUCAUACUGGAGACAAACCUUCUAAGUGCAA